UACGGAGGGUGCUAGCGUUGUUCGGAAUGACUGGGCGUAAAGGGCGCGUAGGCGGGGAGGUAAGUCGGGUGUGAAAUCCCUCGGCCCAACCGAGGAACUGCGCCCGAGACUGCUUCUCUUGAGUCCCGGAGAGGAAGAUGGAAUUCCCGGUGUAGCGGUGAAAUGUGUAGAGAUCGGGAGGAACACCGGUGGCGAAGGCGGUCUUCUGGACGGUGACUGACGCUGAGGCGCGAAAGCGUGGGGAGCAAACGGG
rnacentral:rRNA from 1 species